rnacentral:ncRNA from 20 species
GCCAUAUGACAGCCGUCAGGUGCCCGCUUUUAUGUGGGAGAAUCGGGAAGCCGGUGCAGUUCCGGCACGUGCCCAACGCUGUGAAGGGGACGUUCUCGCCAAAAACAGGCUCUGAAUCUUUUCAGAGCUUUGCCACUGAAUUUUAAAGUGAUUUGGGAAGGCGGCGGGAGCGGAUGAUCCGAAGUCAGAAGACCGGCCUGGCGAGAUAGACCGGCC